rnacentral:rRNA from 1 species
AUACGGAGGAUCCGAGCGUUAUCCGGAUUUAUUGGGUUUAAAGGGUGCGCAGGCGGGAGAUUAAGUCGGCGGUGAAAUUUUGCAGCUCCACUGUAAAAGGGCCUUCGAAACUGGGUUCCUUGAGUGUAGAUGAAGUAGGCGGAAUUUGUGGUGUUGCGGUGAAAUGCAUAGAUAUCACGAGGAACUCCGAUUGCGCAGGCAGCUUACUAAACUACUACUGACGCUCAGGCACGAAGGCGUGGGGAUCAAACAGGAUUAGAUACCCUGGUAGUCCACGCAGUAAACGAUGAUUACUAGCUGUUUGCGAUACAAUGUAAGCGGCUGAGCGAAAGCGUUAAGUAAUCCACCUGGGGAGUACGUUCGCAAGAAUGAAACUCAAAUGAAUUGACGGGG